rnacentral:rRNA from 1 species
AUGGCACUUCUCAGUAAGGAUAGCACGGUUAUGUUCCUAGCAGCUCUUGUUGUCAUGGCCAUGGCUAUGAUAGUUUUGUCAUCAUCCUACGCACAAGAUUAUUGCCACCAGAUCGUACCAUGCAACGAGUCGACUUGCAGCAAUUUCUGCUCGAAGAAUAACUUCAAGAACUUUGUACCGAAUUGCUUGCCAGGAAGGAUGUACGACUACUGCUGCUGCAACAUAACCAGGGGGGUAGACUUUUGA